rnacentral:rRNA from 1 species
AUUGAACGCUGGCGGCAGGCCUAACACAUGCAAGUCGAACGAGUGGCGGACGGGUGAGUAAUGUCUGGGAAACUGCCUGAUGGAGGGGGAUAACUACUGGAAACGGUAGCUAAUACCGCAUACCAUCGGAUGUGCCCCGAUGGGAUUAGCUUGUUGGUGGGGUAACGGCUCACCAAGGCGACGAUCCCUAGCUGGUCUGAGAGGAUGACCAGCCAAACUGGAACUGAGAGACGGUCCAGACUCCUAAGGGAGGCAGCAGGGGGGAAUAUUGCACAAUGGGCGAAAGCCUGAUGCAGCCAUGCCGCGUGUAUGAAGAAGGCCUUCGGGUUGUAAAGUACUUUCAGCGGGGAGGCGUUACCGACAGAAUAAGCACCGGCUAACUCUGUGCCAGCAGCCGCGGUAAUUC